UUUAUGACCAAAUUAAUACUAAAAAUCAUCCAAACUAUGAAGAAAAACAUAAUUAUUUUGUAGACAAACAAAAAAGAUAUGUUUUAUAUUUUAGAUUCUUCAAAAUAGCCCCUCUUGUUUACAUGUUCAGUUUUGCACAUCUCUGCUGGAUUUGUCAGUCAGCUUUAUGAGCUAGAGUCACCUGGAAUUCAGGCUUUCAGUUAACAGCUGUGCCUCAUCAAGAGUUAAUUACUUGAAUUUUCUUGAGAGCAUCAGUUGUAAAGUAGUGAAGAGGUAGAGUUGGUAUACAGUGAAUAGUGAAUAUUUAAGUAAUGCUCUAAUCCAGAUUAUGGUAAAAACUCAGCAAAGUCAUCAUGAAAAAUAUAACAAAUGUAAAGAGAAUCAGGAGGAGAUGAACUGGAGCAGCUUCAAGGGUUCAAGAGUUUGUUAGACUGAAGCUCACCAAAUACCUACCUGUAUCUCUGAGUGAGUCUGAGGUUUCUACCCAUCAACAAGCUUCUGCCCAGCCUCAGGAUUCUGCUCAUCCACAGGCUCCUGGAAGUGAGCUGAAGCUUUUGGAAUAUGUGACUGCUGCAUACUAAAGGAUUAUAAUAUUUUAAUCAUAUCAUUUUUUUUGUGCAGCUUAUGUUACGCAGUUUUCCACAAUGGAAGGAUGGAAAGCUGUCAAAGUUUGUUACCAAAUGCCGUCAUCGUGCCUGACCAUGGAGCUGCAGGCUUGCCACUAACUUAUAGCCUUUAACAAGGCUAGGAGAGCAAAACCCCACUGCCAACACAGCACAAACAGCCCUGAGGCCACCAACCCAGCUAUCCAGCACAGAGAUGGACAGCUGGUGGUGGAUUUCUUCAAACUGCAAAAGUUCUUUCGCAGUAAGUUACCUUAAAAUUUUGGGUUUUCUCAACUUUUUACAUAAGUUUUUACAUUGCAGUAACUCAUUCAGAUACCACAGCAAUCAUUGCA
rnacentral:lncRNA from 1 species